rnacentral:tRNA from 1 species
GGGUUGGUAGCUCAGUUGGUAGAGCAGCCCCGAAAGUUUUCGGGGUUGGUUCAGGGUUCGAGUCCCUGACGAAACA